ensembl:lncRNA
GAAUGAGAGGUGACGCUCUGUCUUUCUCUCUGUUUCAAAGGUAUAUCACUCAAUUCUCACAGUAAACUGAUAAUGUAGCUACCAUUAUCAUUCCCAGUGAAAAACUGAGGCACGUGGAUUUUAACUUGUCUUAUAAUAAGAGAGAGAGAGAGAUUCUUCUUACAUUGAGGUGUGGAGGUGGUAGUUAAGGAGACAAGAGCACCAUUUAAGUCAAUCUCCCAACCUCACAAGCUUAUCUCAGGCUGGUUUGGCAGGUGUAUAACAUUGUAAUAUCCAUGCCGUCUUUGGGUAAUCGGUGAGAAGCAUAGGGGUAUUCUUAGAGGGCGAAGGAAAAGCUUUUGAAGGAGUUGCCCUACCUCAGACAGGUCACCGCUAGAGGACCAGGAGGAGGAAGUGGAGUGGGCUUCUCACCCUCUGCAUUAAGGGAUGUAGCAAAAACCAUGGAGCAAGGACACAGCAUCAGGAUGUUAUAAAUGAGAGAUCCUAUCACCUGCUAAUGCAACUUGAUGGUUUCUUGGGCUUUUUAUUUUAGUUUGAAGUGGCUGCACCUGGGGCAGUGUAAUGUUUCAAUUCUCCUACAUUUCUCUUAGUUUCUGCGUAGAAAUGCUAGAAGCAUGUCUGGUUGAUGGAAUUCCUCUAAUGUCAGAAUACGAGACAGAUGGAAGAUUAGAUUCAAGAAAAGAAAAAAAAAAAAGCCACGUCCAUGUUCUCAGGUCUCUGCAGAUUGAGCAAGUGCUGAAGCUGGUGCUCCUAGCUCCACCUUGAGCUUUGCAAAAGCCAGCUGCCAUGUAGAAGAGACCUAUGGAAGAUCCCAAAUGGCAAGGAACUGAAACCUUCUGGAAACAACUAAUGAGGACUGAGGCCACCUGCUACCAGCCACAUGACAAUCACCUUUCAAAAAGAAGGAAGAAAGUAAGAGGAAGAAGAGGAAGAGGGGAACAUGUUUAGUCUCCAUAAUGUAAAAAGCUACACAACUCACCCAGGAAUUGCAAAAUUGCAAAGGACGAGGGAUCAAUCAUUUUGAAAGUCUUUAUUAGGGAAGUUCUUUACUCAGUCUUUAAGUCUAGUGAUUAAAAGGGGCUUUCCCCCCACCUUCUUCUAGAGAAUACUUCAGAAGCCAGUCUGAAAAAAAAUGAACACAUGUUUUUCAUGAGCUUUCUAAAUCAUGUGGUAGGUGAAGUGACCCAUUUGCCCUUAUUGUGAGGUGCUGGCCUUAAUUUACAACUGGGGUGAAGGGAGAGAAGGAAAGCACAAUGAAGUAGUGGCCCAUUACUUAUGCUACCAAGCCCUGUAAUCAGAAGAAAUCAUGGAAACUGAGGAUGGAGAUGUAAGGUAUUUCUAAUAAAUGAGAACAGUUGCUUUGACGUGACACAGGAAGUGGGGACACCCUAUGGCUUUUGCUUUUUGGUGAGGAAGAUUGGCCCUGAGCUAACAUCUAUUUCCAGUGCUCCUCUAUUUUGUAUGUGGAAUGCCACCACAGCAUGGCUUGAUGAGCAGUGCAUAGGUCCAUGCCUGGGAUCUGAAUCUGCGAACCCUGGACCACUGAAAUGGAGCACACAAAAUUAACCACCGUGCCACUAGGCCAGCCCCUAAACUAUAAUUUUUUAACAGGUGUGCAAAAUGUUCAGUUUUAUGUUUUAGAUGUAGUGAUAAUUCAAAAAUAGGAAAAAGCUCAGCAUUUAUUUUGUCUAAAGUCAAUGAAAGAAUACACUUGAGAGUAUCACAAUGAUUUGUUGGUGAAAUCCUCCUACUAUGGGUAAAUUUCAACCCAAUUAGACAAUGUUUCACUUCAGAUGAAUUUGAUUGUUAUAAAGUUCCUUUUAUGGUGAGCUGAACUUUUGCCUUUUUGUAAUUUUUGUUCAUUUCUUGUUGGGUAGAUACACAGGACAAAUCUAGUCCCUUUAUAUCUUGCAGUCCCCCAGUCUCUGAAGAUACACGACAUUCCUCUUGAAUUGUAUCUAAGGUUCAAGGAUGUAGGUGCCACUGGGGAUUUUUUUUUUGUAAUAUAUCAGGCUGCUGACAAACUAGAAGUAUAUUUGUAUCUGCUGCUAAUACAUGGAAUAUUUCACAUUUCUACCUAGGAUUUUGAGGUUAAUGAUCAAGUGUCCUGGCCCUUUUCAUGAUGCUCUAAAACUGGGGACAUGAUUUAACUGAUUUAUGGUACAAGAAGUUAAACACUUAUAUUUGAGAAAAUGUUUAAAAUAUUUUGUAUUUUAGGAACAUAGAAUAACCUUUGUCUAGGGAUUCAGUUGUCAUGUUCAUACUAAUUUAUGCAAAUAAAAUCAGAGUUUCAAUAGCCACUGUGCCUCUAAAGGUUAUAUUCUUUUAAUUAGAAUCAAGCAAUUAAUUCUAAAUGUUUCCCCAUAUUUUUCUGGAAGCAUUCUCCUUCUUUACCAAAGCUCUUAUAUUUCUUCCCAUUCUAUUUUUUAGCAUGUAAAAUAAUGAAAAUUUAUGCUUUGCUUCAUCCUGGAAUUAAUUGCCCCUCUUUUUAUCAAGUAUCAAUCCAAUGUUUCUCUUCAGGAUUUUAUGGCUUUCUGUGCAUGUCUACUUGUGAUAUGUAAUGUUAGAACAAAGUGAGUGUUCCUUAUCAUUUUGACACCUUAAAUCUAUGCUGCUGAGUUAUGCGACUAGGAAAUUAGUAAUAACCAAGUCUUAUUCUAACAUAAAUUUAUAUUUUUAAAG